rnacentral:tRNA from 1 species
GGAAAGAUGACCGAGAGGCCGAUGGUACCGCAUUGCUAAUGCGGCGUAGUCACACGACUACCGAGGGUUCGAAUCCCUCUCUUUCCG